GUAUCCCUACUGCGAGUGACCUGUAGACACAUCUCAUUUUGGUUAAUUUUGCCAAAACCAGGAACACAUCUGCUUCAGCUAAUUCAAGGAUCCUGAACCCAUCAUGUCCCCUUGAGCACUCAUGAACUGGAGAAGUGUAAGAGGAGCUGGAGCAUACAGACAUGUACAGAGGUGCCAUGGGCAGCAGGAUGUGGUCUCUGGGAUCAUCUGGCUGUUACACCUCAGAAACCACCAAACACCAGGCUCCUAGGACAAUAUCUUUUUCUUACUGCUUUGAAUACAUUAUCAUUAUCUCAAACAACACAUUGGCUUCAUCUUUGAAGUUUCAGUCAGCUCCUGCAGUGAUAUCAGCAGCACACAAGUGCUUUUAAUAAUCUUUGGGAAAAUGUAAUGAGAAUGAUUUCUCUUCAAUUCCACUUGGCUCAGUGCUAGAGCACAACAAUGGGAUGUCGUCAGAAUAAAAGUUUGAAACACAC
rnacentral:lncRNA from 1 species